AGUGCAAUUCAGGCUGUGAGUACCUGGAAGGAAAUGCCCAGGCAGGCACUUGCCAUUGAAAUAUGGUUGGAGAGCCGUUCCGCAUAGCGUCUCUCCGAAUGAGUGAAUCGCCCGCAUGCUGCAAGGCUCAGCGGUAGCCUGGGAUACCAGCUUUUGUGUUUCACUAAAAGAAUACACUCCCGUUGCUAAUGGAAAACAACAGAAGCUAAAGACGAUUGCUGGGAUUGUCAGAUCUCCUUUUUUUUUUUUUUUUUUUUUUUUUAAAGUGGUAAUGAGUAGACAAGAAGACAAUUCCACACAUUCAUCAAAGCCAGCAGAGAGCUCUUCAGAAUACACGGCCAGUUGAAGUCCCAAACACUUCCAACUCUGGGGACUUUUAAAUCUUAACUUGAGCUCAGUUGUUUCUCUUGGCAGUUUCUCCUUUUCCACCUUCACUAGAUAAGGAGCGGAAAACAUGACCUUUCUCUCGCUCGCCUCAUCUUAGCAUCAUGGAUUGGUAAAUAUAUUCUGUCUUUCCCUAGAUAUUUUAUUAUUAUUACCAUAUUUCCACAGCAGAAAAUAUGAAGGGGGAGAAAGAGCAAAAAAAUAAAUAUAAAAUAGAGAAAAGAAAGAAAAAUGUAGAAUAUCAGUCAGGCUUGACGAGGUUCCCCUAAGAAUAGAUUACCUAGUCUAAUGUUGUGGAAAAAUGACUGCUAUACAUCAGCAGAAGAGGUCAGGAAAUUAAAUUUUAUGUGUCCUGCCUAGUAAAAAAGAGAGUUUAGCUGAAAAAUAGAAUCCUUCAUGGCCUGGUGGGAAUUUUGAACAUUUCAAUUCUGUUUAAAAAACAAAACAAAACAAAAAAACAAUGGUGGAAAUAACCACAAGUCAAGGAACAAGGGGUGUAUUCUAAACCAUAAUAGAAGAAAGUCUAUCAAAAGUCAUGUUGCAGCCAGGUAUCACCAAUGAGGUGAUAGGGAGAGUGGCAGCAAUGUUCUGGAGAGUUCUUAAAUCCUCUGAGGUUCAAGUUCAGAAGAAACUGUGGCAUCCUUUAUAGUUAUUUGUAGUGUCCCUCUAAGAGGCAACACCUUGGACUAGAUGGCUUAUGGAAUAGAAAAAGUAUUGUCCACCUUGUAAAUUUAAGUAGAAAUUCUUUCAAAUACUGUUCUUAUGAAGAGAUUGCAUUCUUUUUCUCUUCCAGUGACCUUGCCUGCUUCUCACGUCAUGUUUUGAAUCUUUUAAAUGUAUUCAGUAUUUUUUUCUUACCUUUCUUAUUCUUUUCCAUAUUAUUCAUAGAAAUCCAUGCCAUUUCUCUUUCACCAAAGAUACCUGGUUUUCUUAGAUCCC